rnacentral:rRNA from 1 species
UACAGAGGGGGCAAGCGUUAUUCGGAAUCAUUGGGCGUAAAGGGCGCGUAGGCGGCCGGCCAAGUCGGGUGUGAAAUCCCUCGGCUCAACCGAGGAACUGCACUCGAUACUGGCUGGCUCGAGUCCGGGAGGGGAUGGUGGAAUUCCCAGUGUAGCGGUGAAAUGCGUAGAUAUUGGGAAGAACACCGGUGGCGAAGGCGGCCAUCUGGACCGGAACUGACGCUGAGGCGCGAAAGCCAGGGGAGCGAAUGGG